AAACUAUAGACCAUAGACAGUAUCCUACCAGAACCAACCAGGCAUUCUUGGAACUUGUAGCUGACAACGGGCUAGAACAAAUUGUGGACUUCCCAACACGAAAAGAGAAUACCCUAGAUUUAUUGCUUACAUCUCAUCCUUCAUUUAAAUUAAGAUGCAAACCAUUACCAUCAAUAGGAAACAGCGACCAUGACAUCGUCCUCCUAGAUAUGGCUUGUAAACCACUUAAACCUAAACCAGUCAGAAGAAAAAUAUUUCUAUGGAAAAAAGCGGAAAUACAUAAUAUAAAGGAAGAUCUACAAAACUUUAUAACUACCUUCAAAAACAUCAAAGAUAGAAGCGUUGAGUCUUUAUGGCAGGCAUUUAAAACAGCUGUACAAACCACCAUAGAGAAAAGAGUACCAACGAAAAUGACCCUUGGAAGAAACACUCAUCCAUGGAUCAAUACAACCAUUAGACGCAAAAUAAACCAAAAGCAGAAAGCACACAAGAAGGCGAGAAAAACUAAAAAGAAAAGAGACAAGGAUAGGUAUAAAAGACUACAACAAGAAGUGCAGUGGGAGGUCCGUCAAGCCAACAAGAAGUAUAUGGAAGAGGUCAGUUCAGACUAUAGAGAUAAUGCAAAAGAAAUUCUGGUCUUAUAUCAAGAGCAAAGGUCAGGAAUGGACAGGAGUGGCACCGCUAAAAAACAAAAUGGGAUUUCUGCAAAGUGAUAACAAGAGUAAAGCUGACAUUUUAAACGACCAAUUCCAGUCAGUAUUUACCAAAGAAAACCUAAAUAACUU
rnacentral:lncRNA from 1 species